UACGAAGGGGGCUAGCGUUGCUCGGAAUCACUGGGCGUAAAGCGCACGUAGGCGGAUCUUUAAGUCAGGGGUGAAAUCCUGGAGCUCAACUCCAGAACUGCCUUUGAUACUGGGGAUCUCGAAGUCCGGAAGAGGUGAGUGGAACUCCGAGUGUAGAGGUGAAAUUCGUAGAUAUUCGGAAGAACACCAGUGGCGAAGGCGGCUCACUGGUCCGGUACUGACGCUGAGGUGCGAAAGCGUGGGGAGCAAACAGG
rnacentral:rRNA from 1 species